GUUUAAUUACUUAAUUAUAUGCUUAUCUCUUCUGACAAGUUCAAGGGGACGAACUUAACCCAUACUGUGCUGCCUACGGACUUCAGGAAUUGAAAUUUUCAGAAAUGAUAUGCAGUGUGGAAGAAACAAAACAAGAGAUGGAAUCUAGACUGGACUCAGAGAGAAGACACAUGGUCCAGAAGGAGUCUUUUACAGGCCGAAAUAGAAGAUCUAAAAGGAGCAGGAGGAGUGAAGAAUCUGCUCUGGCUAUGAAAUGCCCCUCGGCCACCACGAUUUCCUGGAAACCCACCACGAGAUGAAACUUUUUGGGUAACCUUUGGAGGUCUCUUAGGUUGAGGAAUUCCAACUUGAGGGA